rnacentral:rRNA from 1 species
CAGGAUGAACGCUAGCGACAGGCUAACACAUGCAAGUCGAGGGGCAGUCACGGGAGUAGCAAUACAACUGGUGGCGACGGCGCACGGGUGAGUAACGCGUAUGCAACCUACCUAUCGAGAGGGGAAUAACCCGGCGAAAGUCGGACUAAUACCGCAUAAAACAGGGGCACCGCAUGGUGAUAUUUGUUAAAGAAAUUCGCUGAUAGAUGGGCAUGCGUUCCAUUAGGUAGUUGGUGAGGUAACGGCUCACCAAGCCGACGAUGGAUAGGGGAACUGAGAGGUUGGUCCCCCACACUGGUACUGAGACACGGACCAGACUCCUACGGGAGGCAGCAGUGAGGAAUAUUGGUCAAUGGGCGGGAGCCUGAACCAGCCAAGUCGCGUGGAAAAGGAAGAAGGAUCUAUGGUUCGUAAACUUCUUUUGCAGGGGAAUAAAGUGCAGGACGUGUCCUGUUUUGUAUGUACCCUGAGAAUAAGGAUCGGCUAACUCCGUGCCAGCAGCCGC